CUACCUUCACCGUGCUUUGUAACUGCAGCUCGUCCGCAGUUGCAGCACAGCAGAGAGAAACUAUGCUGCCAGCGCCUAGAAAAAUAAAGCCUGGGAGUCAAAAAAGGAAAGAGAGAAAGAUUUAACAACAGAUGAGUCUGCAGCAGCUCCCACCUUCACCUCCCUGUCCGAGUGAAAAAGGGAGCAUGUCUGAGAGGAAAACGCUGUCCCAAUACGCAACCAGAGGACAGAAGCAGGUGGAUACGUGAACGAAUGUUCCCCCUGACAGCUGCAAGCUGAAAAUGUCAGAAGACGAUGAACUGGAUGACAUGAUGUUGCUGUGUUUUGACACACAUAUUAUUGGUAUUAUGUGUGCUUGUGCAUGUAGCACAUUGUGUUACUUCACUUGACUAAAACAGCAGCCCAAAAAGGACAGCGGGAUAUGUGGAAAUGCUAAGCUAUCCAAUAUUAUGCCAUUGCAAAUGUAAUAAUGCUCAAAUUUGAUUGACAAUCAGAGAAGUUCAUUCUUUCAUUUAUUUUCUACUGCUUGUCAGGAUUGGACUGGUGGCCUGUCAAUCACAGGGCACAUAUUAAUGAACAAUGAUUCACAACUAUGGACAAUUUACAAUUAACCUAACAUGCAUGUUUUGGGUAGUGAUGUGCGCAUCGAUACCGAAAUAUCAAUACUUCAAAUAAUAAAUCAUCCAUCCAUCCAUCCAUUUUCUAUACGGCUUCAUCCUCAUUAGGGUCGCGGGGGCAUGCUGGAGCCUAUCCCAUCUGACUUCGGGCGACAGGCGGGGUACACCCUGGACUGGUCGCCAACCAAUCGCAGGGCACAUAUAGACAAACAACCAUUCACACUCACAUUCAUACCUAUGGACAAUUUAGAGUCGCCAAUUAACCUCACCUGCAUGUUUUUGGGAAUGUGGGAGGAAGCCGGAGUGCCCGGAGAAAACCCACACGCACACGGGGAGAACAUGCAAACUCCACACAGAAAUGCCCAGGGGAGAAUCGAACCCAUGUCUUCCCGAUCUCCAGGCCAACGUGCUAACCACUAGACCACCGUGCGGCCCUAUAACAAUAAUAAAUCAAAAUAUCGGUAAUUUCGAUACUUCAGUCAUUUGAGGUAAUGUUUGUCUCAAACUUCUGUCUGCUGAAAG